AUGGGAUGGGGAACCCUCAUAACCAGGCGCCUCAAAGUUUUUUCCUUGGCGCUGUUCGUCUACUUCGACUACAAGGCUGUUCAGAAGAGAGUCCAGUGGGUUAGCGCUGUCAAGAAGAAUGCUAUAUGGGCAAAGACGCACGAGCGGAAUGCGCGUCGUGUUCUCAACCUGAUGAUAGAGCUAGAAGGUUUGUGGGUGAAAAUGGGCCAGUAUCUGUCCACAAGAGCAGACGUGCUUCCUGAGCCGUACAUAGAGGUCCUGAAGCAGCUGCAGGACUCGCUUCCUCCACGCCCUCUUGAAGAGGUUUGUGGAACCAUAGAAAAAGAACUUGGGAAACCCAUGCGUCAACUAUUUGCUACUUUUGACGUUGACCCUCUUGCGACCGCAUCAAUAGCACAAGUUCAUCGUGCAACUCUGGAAGACGGCAGAGAAGUGGUUGUCAAAGUUCAGCAUGAUGGUAUCAAAGAGAUCAUAUUAGAGGAUUUGAAGAAUGCAAAAUCAUUGAUCGAAUGGAUUGCAUGGGCAGAACCUCAGUAUGACUUCAACCCAAUGAUUGAUGAAUGGUGCAAGGAGGCACCCAAGGAACUUGAUUUCAAUCAUGAAGCAGAGAACACUAGGACUGUCUCCAAGAAUCUUAGUCGGAAGACCGAAGGUGGGAGUGGCAGUGUUUCCAGCGAUGUUGAUGUACUGAUACCAGAAAUUAUUCAGUCUACUGAAAAGAUUCUAAUUCUGGAAUACAUGGACGGCAUUCGCUUACAUGACAAUGAUUCAUUGGAAGAAUAUGGUGUUGAUAAGAAAAGACUCGUUGAAGAGAUAACCCGUGCUUAUGCUCAUCAAAUAUACAUUGACGGUUUCUUCAAUGGCGAUCCUCAUCCUGGCAAUUUUCUUGUAAGCAAGGAACCUCCACAUAAACCGAUUCUCCUUGAUUUUGGGCUCACUAAACGCAUAUCACAAUCAAUGAAGCAGGCACUAGCAAAGAUGUUUUUAUCAUGCGCUGAGGGGGACCAAGUGGCACUGCUGUCAGCCUUUGCAGAGAUGGGGCUUAAGCUGCGAGUUGACAUGCCUCAGCAGUCUAUGGAGAUUGCCUCAAUAUUUUUUCGCCAGUCCACUACAGCAACUGAAGCGAAAGAGAACAUUAAAGCAUUGAAUGAGCAAAGAGAACGAAACGCCAAAGCCCUUCAAGAGAAGAUGAAAUUGAACAAGAAGGAGGUUAAACAUUUCAAUCCUGUUGAUGCUUUCCCUGGGGAUGCGAUAAUUUUUAUGAGGGUCUUGAAUCUUCUUAGAGGGCUUUCAGCUUCACUGAAUGUUAGGAUAGUUUAUCUGGACAUCAUGAGACCAUUUGCUGAAUCAACUUUGCUAGGGAGUAUGACACGUGGGCCCUCAACUAAUAGCGAGUGGAUUUAUGACUCACCUGUUAACUCUGAAGUGGAGUCUAAACUGAGGAGUCUUCUACUCGAGAUGGGAAGCGACAAAAUUUUGGGACUACAAGUAUGCGCAUACAAAGAUGGAAAGGUCAUAAUAGACACCGCUGCUGGUACAUUAGGGAAAUACGAUCCACGUCCCGUUCAGCCUGAUUCUCUGUUUCCGGUUUUCUCGGUGACGAAGGGUAUCACUGCUGGAAUGGUACAUUGGCUCGUCGACCAAGGGAAGUUGAAGUAUGAAGAAACAGUUGCCGAUAUAUGGCCAAAAUUUGGGACUAACAAAAAGGAGCUAAUCAAGGUGCACCAUCUUCUCAAUCAUACAUCUGGUUUACAUAAUGCUCUGGGAGAUGUGGUCAAAACCGAUCCUAUGUCGGUAUGUGAUUGGGAAGAGAUGCUAGACCAGAUUGCCAAAUCUACACCCGAAACUGAGCCUGGUUCAUCACAAAUUUAUCACUACCUAUCCUUUGGUUGGCUGUGUGGCGGUCUCAUAGAGCAUGCAUCGGGGAGGAAGUUUCAAGAGAUCCUAGAAGAGGCUAUUGUUCAUCCUCUUCACAUCGAGGGAGAGCUAUAUGUCGGAAUUCCUCCAGGUGUUGAGUCUCGCCUGGCAACGCUGACGGUCGACAUGGAAGAAAUUCAGAAGCUACAAGGGAUCAAGCCAGGGCCAGACGUCCCACCGGAACUGCUGAGCGGCAUUGCGCAGAUGGCGGCUGGCGUACCAGCUAUGUUCAACACGCUGAAUGUUCGCCGCGCCAUUAUCCCCGCCGCCAACGGCCACUUAUCUGCCCGUGCGCUUGCUCGGUACUACGCGGCGCUGGCAGCCGGCGGUGCCAUCCCCCCGCCGCACUCCAGCAAUGCCAAGCCGCUCCUGGGCAGCCACGUGCACACGCCGGCAUUCCCCACCGCCGCCACGUCCAAGAAGAAGAAGAGAGGCUCGGCGAAGAAGAGUAGAGGAAGCUCGAGCUCGAUGGAGAAGGUCGAGUAUGCCCAGCUGCGCACCAGCGACGCCGACAGCGAAGUGUCGGUGGCGGCAUCAGGGAGCACCGGCGGCAGGUUGUUCAGCAACAGCGACAGCGGCAUCAUGGAUGCGUUCAUGGGCGUCGGCGAGUACUCAGGCAUGAUCCACCCGAACGGCAAGUUCGGGCUCGGGUUCAGGAGGUACGGCAGGUCCGGCGCGCCGCCGACGGGGUUUGGGCACUCCGGGAUGGGCGGGUCGAACGGGUUCUGCGACCCGGAGCACGGGUUCGCCAUCGCCGUGACGGUGAACAAGAUGGCGCUGGGGUCCGUCACGCGGCGCGUGGUGCGGUUCGUGUGCGAGGAGCUGGGCGUGCCGGUGCCCGACGAGUUCUCCGUCGCCGGGGAGAAGGGGCCCGACAUGGUGCUCAACCUCGCGCCGCCGGCGGAGUAG
rnacentral:rRNA from 1 species